CUGCCUAGGUACACAUAAAGUGGAGUCGUCUUUUCUGCACAGAGUGUGCACUAUCAACGUAACAGCAGAGAUGGAGAGCAAGAAGUGAGGAGGUUAAAAGUCAGGGUCAGAAGUUCAGGUUGCUCUGACCCUCAAAUCAAUUUCAAGCACUGUUUGUGACAUUUUUCUGUGUUCCCUCGCUUGAUGUUAGUCUUUGCAAUGAACCACCGAAUCAGACUUCAGGGAUCAUGGGACCUUGGGGUUUCAGUGGGGUCAGGUCAAUUUCUACCUACCAGUGUACUGCCACCUAUGAAGCAAACCAUUAUCUAGGCGUCUGAGAACCUCAAAGUCGUGAAACUCCGAGGGGAGAGAGAGAGGAUGAAGUUGCUGUGGCCCCUGUGUCUUUGGGUCCUGCCAUAGCUCAACCUGUGGCUUUAGGGGGACUGUGUGCAGGCAGGUCAUAGUGUUACCAGAAAGGGAUCCUGAUCCAGACCCCAAGAGAGGGUUCUUGGACUUUGUGCAAGAAAAAUUCGGGCUGAUGGCACUAGAACUGAACUCAGAAGCUGCAGCAGUGGAUGGAUGAUGAUCUGAAGAAAUGAGAUCCCUGAUGAGCUGGGAGUCAGGGUUCCUGUAACCAUGAUGUCACACCCUCAUCCUGACACCAAGAUGGGCAGGACCCAUCUGUCACCCAAGGCAAACAAAAUGCUUGGUCUGAAUCUUUCAGAAGAAAACUAAAAAUCGAGUCAUUGCUCAGAAUUUUGCUUGUGUGUGGCUUAAGUCUUCUUCUCCUGUUGAGGAAGGUGUUGAGUUUGACCAUGACAGCCCCACCCAAUCCUCGGCUCAUCCCAGCCACCAGAGAGGAUCUGGAGAUUCGAGGCUAUGUCAUGGAAGACCUUGUCAGAGCACCAGGUCAUACUGUGCUGCAGGUGGGGUUCGGGUGCCCAGUGACAACCACCGGGAACACUCAUCCCUAAAAGUCUGUUGAACUUAAAGUUCUAUGCAAGGCUUUCUACAUUAAAUACCCUUUCAUAUAGCAAAAUCAGCCAUGUUCUGAGAUGUGAAACUGCAGCACAAAUUACUGUGGUCUCCACCUAUAGAAAUGGAAUGUUACUUCAUAAAGCCCCAGGCCAAAAAAGAAACCCCCAAACUCUGAAAUGACACCCUUAAAUUUAACCCGAACAUCUGGCCAGCCUCCUCCAUCAUUGAAACUUCUCCUGAGUGUUGGCAUGGAUCCUAUGUUUCUCCAGCCAGGGAGCUUUGCUCCCCAUUCUUGAUGGACCCACUGAGUCCCAAUUUUCUACAUUUUACUUGGGUCACUCCUCCACUUUGGGAUGCUUUUCUUACUUUGUUGUACUUUAAAAAUGUUUCUUCUCUCCUGCACUCAGCUUCGCGCAUUUGUCUUCUUUCUUGAUUUAACUUGCUUAGCUCUCGCUACAUCAAUUCCUAGAGCCAUUCAUCUGUACUUCUGAAUCAUUUAAGUUUUGUUUCGUUGCAAGUAAUGGAAACCCACUCUGAGUAACUCAAGCAAGAACUGGAAUUUAUUGGAAGGACAGUGGGAUAUAUCAUAAGAUCCAAAAAGAAUUGAACAAACAGAAUUUCAGAGGGAAGAAAAAGGGCAGCUCCAGUGAGUUCAGCAACAAGACAACAUAAAUCUUUCUAAAGCAUAGCUACUAAUAUUAUUCAGCUGCAAGAGCCCCUACCCCAUGAGAAACUUGAUUGAAAAUUCUGAUUUCCUGCAGAGAAGAAUCUGAUUGACCCAGUUUAGUUUUGGUUGCCCAAUUGCUCAAUCUUACAUGAAUUAUUUCCAGCCAAGGGGACAGGGUGUAUUAUAGGGACAUACCUGCUUUCUCCAAAGAAAAGAUCUCGGCAUUUCCUGAUCAUUUCCCUGAGAAGGAGGAAUCUUUGUGAGCCAAGAAUAUACCUCAAGUAUAAUGAACUCAGUUACACUUUUUUGAAAUCUGAGUAUUUGGUAUGUAGUGUGCAUUUUAAAAAAACAUGUCUCUUUCCAGGAUACAAUCUUAACCUCUUCCAUGGUGGAGUAGGGCUAUGUGAUUUUGUGCUCAAUUUACCUAGCUGGUGGGCCUCCAGUAGAGGCUGAACCAGUCAAACCAGCUGAUACCACAUUAAUUUUCCAAAGAAACAAAAGCUGCCCUUCCUUCCUUAUUUCAAAGUUUGACAGAAAGCAAAAGGUGAAGAAUAAAAGCGCCUUGCAUUGUCUAACAUCUACCGCAGUGUUUGAGCUGCAGCUGCUCCUCCUCCCGUGAUUGUUUUCAAAUAUUUCCUCAAAAAAGGCAUUAAAGAAAAACACAAGAUAUUACACGGGGAACCAAAACAAAUCACAAUCUUCAAGGACAAAGCAUUGCAAAAUGGCUUACAUCCCCAAAUGGGAACAGAUAUGGCUGGAAAUUAAAACAAUCUUUUUUAUUUUAAGUGGAAAUGCUAGCAGAUGCCACAAGAAACAUAUGGAACUCACCACAGACAAAUAGGGAACGCUUUCUACGUGUGGAAGUAGAGCAAAGGGAGUGACCACCUCUGACUGUCAGGGGAACCAUCAGCUCGAACUGUUUGCUAUGGCAGGAGGGAGUUUGCAGAGUCUGGGGUCCUGCCCUCAUGGAAAAGCUUUAACGAUCUUGACUGCGUAAUUUAAGUCAUUCUUGUCAGGGAGUUUCAGAACACUAUUCACAAUUAUAUUUAUUUCAAAAUGCAUUGAUCCCAGAUAUCUUUUUAAAUGUGCUCACCACUGAAUUUGUGCAUUGUUACAUAUUCCCUCUUUGAACCUCUGAAUGAAACAAAAUAAAUAGGAAAAAAUGGAGACAUAGAAGCACUGUCCACAAGGCAUCUCCCACUCUAGAGGUCUCCCAGCCCCAUGCUAGCUUGUUAAUUUUUUGUUAUAGCUUGUCUGUCAAACAAGGAAGAUAUAAUUCUCCACACAACAUAUUUUUCUAAAGCAAUGUUUUUGUACAAUUUCCUGAUUUCCAAAAAUAUGACCAACAGUAUUCUGGUUGA